UAAGCAAGACAUGAAAUCGUGAGGCUCAACCUUAUUGUUGUGUCUGAAACUGGUAAGCUAGAGCAUAUGAGGGGUACCUGGAAUUCCUGGUGUAGGAGUGAAAUCCGUAGAUAUCAGGAGGAACACCAAUGGCGUAGGCAGGGUACUGGCAUAUUGCUGACACUAAGGCACGAAAGCGUGGGAGCGAACGGGAUUAGAUACCCCGGUAGUCCACGCCGUAAACGAUGAAUGCUA
rnacentral:rRNA from 1 species